GAUCGAAUGAUGACUCCCACAUAUGCAUUCCUUGGAAAUUGGAACAAAAUGAGUGAGGAAAAAAAAAUUACAAUGUCUUUUCUCUUUUACUUGAUUAUU
rnacentral:snoRNA from 1 species